rnacentral:rRNA from 1 species
GCAGGCCCUACCAAUUGCAAGUUCGAGCGGUAGCACAGAGAGCUUGCUCUCGGGUGACGAGCGGCGGACGGGUGAGUAAUGUCUGGGAAACUGCCUGAUGGAGGGGGAUAACUACUGGAAACGGUAGCUAAUACCGCAUAACGUCGCAAGACCAAAGUGGGGGACCUUCGGGCCUCAUGCCAUCAGAUGUGCCCAGAUGGGAUUAGCUAGUAGGUGGGGUAACGGCUCACCUAGGCGACGAUCCCUAGCUGGUCUGAGAGGAUGACCAGCCACACUGGAACUGAGACACGGUCCAGACUCCUACGGGAGGCAGCAGUGGGGAAUAUUGCACAAUGGGCGCAAGCCUGAUGAUGCAGCCAUGCCGCGUGUAUGAAGAAGGCCUUCGGGUUGUAAAGUACUUUCAGCGAGGAGGAAGGCGUUAAGGUUAAUAACCUUGGCGAUUGAC